GAUGAACGCUGGCGGCGUGCCUAAUACAUGCAAGUCGAGCGAACGGACGAGAAGCUUGCUUCUCUGAUGUUAGCGGCGGACGGGUGAGUAACACGUGGAUAACCUACCUAUAAGACUGGGAUAACUUCGGGAAACCGGAGCUAAUACCGGAUGAUAUUUUGAACCGCAUGGUUCAAAAGUGAAAGACGGUCUUGCUGUCACUUAUAGAUGGAUCCGCGCUGCAUUAGCUAGUUGGUAAGGUAACGGCUUACCAAGGCAACGAUGCAUAGCCGACCUGAGAGGGUGAUCGGCCACACUGGAACUGAGACACGGUACAGACUCCUACGGGAGGCAGCAGUAGGGAAUCUUCCGCAGUGGGCGAAAGCCUGACGGAGCAACGCCGCGUGAGUGAUGAAGGUCUUCGGAUCGUAAAACUCUGUUAUUAGGGAAGAACAUAUGUGUAAGUAACUGUGCACAUCUUGACGGUACCUAAUCAGAAAGCCACGGCUAACUACGUG
rnacentral:rRNA from 1 species